rnacentral:rRNA from 1 species
CAGCCGCCGCGGUAAUACGAGGGGGGCAAGCGUUGUUCGGAUUUAUUGGGCGUAAAGGGUGCGUAGGCGGUUUGGCAAGUCUCGUGUGAAAUCUAUGGGCUCAACCCAUAGCCUGCACGAGAAACUACCGGGCUUGAGUAUGGGAGAGGUGAGUGGAAUUUCCGGUGUAGCGGUGAAAUGCGUAGAUAUCGGAAGGAACACCUGUGGCGAAAGCGGCUCACUGGACCAUUACUGACGCUGAGGCGCGAAAGCUAGGGGAGCAAACAGGAUUAGAUACCCCCGUAGUCCCUGUCUCUUAUAC